rnacentral:rRNA from 1 species
AACGACUCUCGGCAACGGAUAUCUCGGCUCUCGCAUCGAUGAAGAACGUAGCGAAAUGCGAUACUUGGUGUGAAUUGCAGAAUCCCGUGAACCAUCGAGUCUUUGAACGCAAGUUGCGCCCAAAGCUGUUAGGCUGAGGGCACGUCUGCCUGGGUGUCACGC